GUUGGCCGCCGGACUCAUUGCGUCUCUCGCGGCAGAGGCACACAGCGAUGGUUUUCAUCUGUGCAGUCUUGAAAGAGCAGCACGUUUUACCACUGCCGCUUUUAGCUCUAUCUUCUAGCGAACCUCCAUGGCAACCUGCCGGCUCACCUACGGAAAAAUGGUGCAAGCAUUUUCUUGCAUCUGGAGGUCUUACUAAGUUGCGGCAUUUAAUUCUCAAUCCAGGUAUCGCAAUCUGUCAUGAUGCCAUUAAGGCAUUAACUGUGAACUCCAUCCCUGCAGGAUAUGUUGCAUGAGGUUGUAGGUCUCGAUAUCUUAUCUUGGAUAAGAUGUCUGGAUCUUUGUACUCUUGCUGUGCUGACAAUCUCCAGCGGUCCAACUCAAGGAAUUGGCACGAUAAAACUUUGACUACCAGACUUUUUGUAACUGAUCCAAGAUUGAUGAUGGCAUAUUACUUGUAUAAUUUUCCUUGAUGUUUAUUGGAUUGAUGAAUUAUGUUAUUGCAACUUUUUCUGAACCAUGUCCACUAUUCAAUUCUUCACACACAGCUUCUUAGGGUAUCACUGUAGUCUUGAACCAUGACAUUUUAUAUUUAUCGCAUCUGUUUUGACUAGCUUACAGAGAGUGGUAUUUAGCCAUAGGACUGUAAACAAGUAGUUGUUUCAUUCGUUGUAGACUUAAGAGCAAUAAAAUGUUGUUUCUUUUGGAAAUUUGAAAUAAAUGAAAAUACAUAUUCUUCGGAAUGGAUGGUUCAGUUCAACAAUUAUUUUCAUUAGGUUCCUGUGAAAGCUACUACAUACUAAAGUAUCAUCGAUCUAUGACAGGUUCAGCUGCACACUUUUACUGACUGUUGUGCUUUGGUGUUUUCAUUGAACCAGAUUGCAGUUACAUAAAUCAAGCUUGUUGCUGGAAAGCCAACUCGUAAAGUCUCCUGAACCCGGCAAGUCAAAGUCAAAUGCUCAAUGGAAUGACUAAUUAGCGUUGAAACACCGUUUCAAUCUCAAGCCCAUCUAGAAUUUUGCGUUGAGAUCC